CUUGUGUAUUCUGUGAAAUAUAAAAAAGUUAGUAUUCAGAUUUAAACAUUCACCAAAUUUUAAAUUAUCUGAUUGAAAGGCUGCUGCAUUAGAUAUCAGUGAUGGUUGUAUAAAAUGUUACCCAAGUUUUUGGGUGGUUGUUGAAUAUUGAUUUUGUGGCAUGGAGAUACCGUUGCCACUGUAAAAUUAUACUUAAACGAGAUGUAAGUGUAAGGUUUGUUUGUUCACAAUAUUGGUGACGCACAUCUGGUUGUGUAUUACCAUGAAUGGGUACAAUACACCUUAAGCACAUUACA